rnacentral:pre_miRNA from 1 species
CAGCUACUCCCUCCGUUCGAAAUUACUUGUCACAGAAAUAGAUGUAUCUAGACGUAUUUUAGUUCUAGAUACAUCCAUAUCCGAGACAAGUAAUUCCGAACGGAGGGAGUAACUG